CAUGAAGCUGGAAUCGCUAGUAAUCGCGGAUCAGAAUGCCGCGGUGAAUACGUUCCCGGGUCUUGUACACACCGCCCGUCACACCAUGGGAGUCGGGAAUACCCGAAGCCUGUGAGCUAACUUAUAGAGGCAGCAGUCGAAGGUAGAAUCAAUGAUUGGGGUGAAGUCGUAACAAGGUAUC
rnacentral:rRNA from 1 species